UAAGGAAUAUUGGUCAAUGGACGCAAGUCUGAACCAGCCAUGCCGCGUGAAGGAUGAAGGUCCUCUGGAUUGUAAACUUCUUUUAUCUGGGACGAAAACGGGAUUUUUAUCUCAAUUGACGGUACCAGAGGAAUAAGCACCGGCUAACUCCGUGCCAGCAGCCGCGGUAAUACGGAGGGUGCGAGCGUUAUCCGGAUUUACUGGGUUUAAAGGGUGCGUAGGUGGGCUUAUAAGUCAGUGGUGAAAUCUCCGAGCUUAACUUGGAAACUGCCGUUGAUACUAUAUGUCUUGAAUUAUCUGGAGGUAAGCGGAAUAUGUCAUGUAGCGAUGAAAUUCUUAGAUAUGACAUAGAACACCAAUUGCGAAGGCAGCUUACUACAUAUAAAUUGACGC
rnacentral:rRNA from 1 species